GGUCGAGCCUCACGAGCCAGAUGAAGCUAGCUGACUGCUUAUAACGUUAGCUUUGGGCUAGAGGGUUAAGUAGUUGGCUAGCUAACUGAAGUUCAAUUUAAAUAAGCGAAGAACAUGUGGCUACCUAGCUAAUACUUAUUCACAAGGAUUCCUAAAUAAUUGCUAAGAAUGAUGAAAAUGACUGCAGUUUCUACUGGUCUUUGUUUUCAGGCUGGUUGUAUUGGUGUUAGCUAGGUAACUUUACCAAGCGAAUGCUAGAACGUUUCCAAUAGGAUCUCGCUAGCUCGUGCUUGGCUCUGCCCACCUCCUUGCUUGUUCUCCCCACUAUGACUCGUUUGUUCCCAUUGGAAACGACAUGUAGCGGUCUAACUUGGUUUGUCUUUGCGUAACCCUUAUACAAAUGUUAACUUUCAACUUCAAUGGGGGUGGGGACAUCCCUAGGAUUCCGAUUAACACGGACCCUGAAAGAAGGAAAAGAAGUGACAUCUGGUAAAAUUAAAAGGGAGUAAUAUCCGGCAUUCUUCUGUAUUAAACCAUCAAUAUUUGGUCUCUGUAAACAGAUAGUUUUUCCUGUGUGUAUUUCAUCAAACUUCCUCAAUACACACAAGUCCAUACAUCGUGCAAUCGCAUUGGGCCAAAUCACAAAUUCACCCCCUUCUGAAGAUGAGAUGCUGCAUGCUAAAUUGGUACCCUAAAAAUAAAUAUUAGUUAGGUAGCUACCUCGUCUCUCUACUUUUAGAAAGGAGCUAACUAUGACUCUUAAAUAUAAUCUACUCAACCCUAUACUGAGCGUAUUUCCGUUAGUUUGUAUAGUUUUAAUAUGAUUUACUUGUAACUUUCAGUUUUGUCAAGCUAGUGAAGUCAGACCAGAAAAUGUCUUGUUUGGGGUCAAGGGCUAGACCCUAAAGUCGUUUUGCCCGGUCGAUCCAGGCUGUCAACUCAGCUGGGGAAAACUUCUCUCCAGGUAGACUCGUUCAGAAGCAGCAUGUCCGCAUCCACACCCACCUUCCCCUGGACAGAGGCGAUGGUUCCUUUCUGAUGAGGAAUUCUCAAUUGGCCAUGGAGGGGAGAGUGACCAAACUCAGCAUGCAUCCACAGAAAUGCACAAGAAGGCCACACUAGCUAAAGGUGCUAGCAAUAUCGUCUACUGCGGAAAAUGAUGUUCUGCCUCCUAUGGAAGGUGAGCCCGU